UUCUUACUGCCAAUCCUUGAUUGGAAGCACUUCCAUUUCAGAGCCAGAUGUCUGUCUGACACUGUCUGCAGACCACUUUGAAUGCAUUGAAGCUUCACUGAGCUAAAUUGAUCAUAUACUGGAAGGAAGAAAAUUGAUUAUACUCACGCCAGUGGUCCUAAGAAGACAUAAAGACAAGAGUUGAGAAAGCAGAGAUGUGAGAUAAAGACGGAGCGAGGAGGAGAGACCCUGAAAGAUGAUGGACGUUCAAUACACAUCUCAGCGAAUAUGUACUUAUACGAUGAACAUGCCCUUGUGAGUGCGCCAGAGACUUUCCCAGAGUGGUUGAAUUCUUUCCACGUGAACCUGAUAUAGUAUUAUCUCAUGACAGCAUCCAG